GAGUACAUGGAGAAAGGGGAAGAAAUGGGGAGAGGGGGAAGGCAAGAACAAGUGCAAGAGACCAAGAGUACUGUGUGUUUCUCAAAACUAGAUAUGACUCGUUCCUCUCAACGUCAAAAUAUUUUUAUGAUAGAAAAGGAAUCGGGUGUGAUGAAACACACCAGUAAUUCCAACAUUUGGAAGAUCUCAACUAUACCAAAAACUUGAGGCCAAACUAGUCAGCAUGAGAUCCUGUCUCAAAAAGCAAACAAUAAAAAAAGGUUCUACCAAAUGAUAUGAAAUAUGGUGCUUUUAAAACAGUCUAAUCUACCAUGCGGAGAAAGCACCAUUAAACUUGCACUGUCUGUCUUUCCAAUGUUUUCAAUACAUGGCCAAAUGUCAUUGCUGUGUACACUAGGCCCAAUGUUUUCUUGGCCCUUGCUGGAGUUGGAUGUCUGUAACUCCUGUGAUCUGUGUAGCAGUAGUGAAGAAGUGUCUCACUGUGGCUGAGGGACUCUCGUCACGACCAUUUCUCCCGCAGUAGUCAUGUGAGCACGUGGAGAAAACAGUGUGACACCACCCCAUAGAUCACAUCUGCUCUGGACCUGAGGCGGACACACCAUGGACAAGACACUGUUAUGAUGUGAUGUCAAAAGGCCAGACACACCUGGAUAGAGCAAGAGGUCCAGGCCUUCACAGCAAGCUUCGCGUGUCUGGAGAAAAGCAAUGAUCUAGAGUGUGUAUAGCCAAAGAAGUGAUGGGGAGCCUCUCCAGAACCUGUGAAAGUCCAGACAAGAGAUACGACACACAAAAGAAGAGAAUGAACUUAUUCACUGUGGUCACAUUUGGGAACAGAAGCAGGGAUCAAAGCCAGGUGUGCUAGCACACACCUUUAAUCCCAGCACUCAGAAGGCAGAGCAGGUGGAGCUCUGAGUUUGAGGCUGACCCAGUCUAUGAAAUGAGUUCUGGGACAGCCAGGGCUGUUACAACCCUGUCUCAAAACCACAAAGGAAAAGACGGCGUUGUCUAUUAACCCCAAGUACAACCUCAGUACACUAACAUGAGGUUUAGGUUUCAAGAGAGCCCAGAGGUAUGCAUAUUUAAGCAGUCCUGGUCAAGAUAUGGUCCUAGCUGUCACUGGUCCACCAUCUCUGAUCCAGUUCAUCCUGCAAGGUAUCCUCAGGGAAGUAUCCAGGUCUGUGUGAAGUCUUCCUGGCAGCCACUUUGUCAUUUUGCUGUCAUGAGCGAAGGCCCUUUGUACUUUCCCUCACAGGAGAUUCUUCGGAGGUUUUAGUGGUUCAGGGGUUCAUUCAGGAAAUGCAGCAGCUGGACAGCACAGUUGUCCCUCUUUAACAUCUCUUUGCCUCUGCCUGGAUGGUGACAAGGUCAGGGCACAGCUUGGAAGACAGCACAACACCAGGAGUUGAGUAUCUCCCACUUCCCGAUGGAGUCGUGAUGAGUCUGGGGUGCCACUUAGUUCCAUUUCUGUUGCUGUGCUGAAGUAUGAUGACUAACAGUAACUGAGGCAAGACUUGUUGCUUUUCCCAUAAUCCUAACUGUCACGGCCAGGGUGUGUCACGAAGUGCCUGUCUGAAUGCUUGGCCCGGAUGGGGGAGCCGGAUCUUCAGCCUCUCGCCAGCAGCAAGGAAUCAGGAAGUACAGCAUGCUCAGAGUUCUCCAGUCCCACCUCUAGCAGGGCUCCACUCCCUAAAGCUCCAUAGCUUUCACACACAGCACAGUGUUCAGUGUUCCCUAUGGGGAACAUUUCCUCAGCCUGCUACGGGCGCUUUUAAACAGUCUUAUCCCUUACCCCUAAGUAAACUUUUGUCUCCAUAAAGCUUGGGUGUCAGCGCCAUGGAUUUAAUGAAGGUUUUGGGUUGUGUUGUUUUGUCUGUUUGUUGUGCUUUGUUUUUAACUCACAUUUCAAGUAUAACUUGUGAAAAUCAACAAAUAAAAAUUACCAAAUGUAUAUUGUA
rnacentral:sRNA from 1 species